rnacentral:rRNA from 1 species
CGCUGGCGGCAGGCCUAACACAUGCAAGUCGAGCGCCCCGCAAGGGGAGCGGCGGACGGGUGAGUAACACGUGGGAAUUUUCCUCAAGGUACGGAACAACUCAGGGAAACUUGGGCUAAUACCGUAUGAUGCAGAGAUGCCAAAGAUUUAUCGCCUUGGGAUAAGCCCGCGUCAGAUUAGGUAGUUGGUGGGGUAAUGGCCUACCAAGCCUGUGAUCUGUAGCUGGUCUGAGAGGACGAUCAGCCACAUUGGGACUGAGACACGGCCCAAACUCCUACGGGAGGCAGCAGUGGGGAAUCUUGCGCAAUGGACGAAAGUCUGACGCAGCCAUGCCGCGUGAAUGAUGAAGGUCUUAGGAUUGUAAAGUUCUUUAGCCUGUGACGAUGAUGACGGUAACAGGAGAAUAAGCCCCGGCUAACUUCGUG